CAGAAACAGAAACCGGGCUGAGUAUAUUGGGAUGUCUACCUAACCGUGAAAUGCUCUAUGGACAUGUGUAACAAAUUCUGAGUGAUUGAAAACAGGAAGACUCACCGGAAGUAUCGCCGAAGGAGGCCCUUUCGACAGGUCACGUGGCAGCAGGAGAAGUAUCCAGGAGCUGGAAAGAAGAGGGAAAAGAGACCUUGUGUUAGUAACGGUGUGAGUACCCUAAACCAUUGUACAGCAGCAUAAUCAUCUAGAGUGAACUAUCUGUGAGCCUUUUUGUGAGUUUGUGGCAUAAUAUGUGAGCGGCCCCACCGUGGAGGAGGAUUGUGGGUGAGCCAGGACCAGUGAGCGAGCCGGGACCAGUGAGCGAGAGAAGACGUUGGGGUGUCGUGGCGGCGACGUUUAAAUCUGAAUAUUCGUUGCAUCAGUGUCUCCACGAUUUCCAGGACGAGUCUUUGGUCAGACGGGGUUUUGACCCUAAAUUCACCAAGAGUGUGUGGAGUGCAGUGGGUGAGUCUUUGUCCUUUGCUGUGAGUGUAUACACUUGAAACUUUCAGUGUUGUGCUGUGUUUGUGUCGUCAACAACCACCUUUCAGGCCCGACGAAAUCCUGGAAGGAAGUGAGUACUGAGGCGGGCGAAGAAAACAUCUCCAAUUAUAUGCCGUCGAUGACAUCCUGACCCUUCUUCCCCACGUGACGGUGGUGGGAAACAAUUUAAAAUCUCUUGCCCUGUCAGUUGGAAGAAAGAAGAGGGAAGCGUUCGACCCAUUCAGUGUAGCACACCCCGGGUGAAACAACUUACCUGUGUGUGACACCAGCGGAGGCCGUGUUCGGCCCAACGCAGCAGCAGCUUUCGAUCCGCAUCUCUAUCAGCAGUUGGGAGAAGCCUCAGAAAAGGAACGCCUGACGUCUAUUUCCUCAAAGAUCUAGCGGGUCCCUUUGAAGCGUCUACCUGCACGUCGACCCGUCACUCAGGAUACAGAAACCGCGGAAACCCCCCCCCGUACACUUACCAGUACGGUUUCAGUUGGAUCCCGGCAGCCAUUGUGCAGCUCCACCAGCAUCUGGAUGACCAGGAGUCCAACCCGCUGGGCCGCCUCGGAGUUCGCCACGAGUAGCAGCAGGUAUCCAUCGUGCAUUCAAACUCUCAAUACUUACCACUUGUAUCUGUUACGUCCAGGAAAGGAGAGGGCCCUGGACAGUCGUCCUGCAAGCCAGAACACAGGGGCACUUGUGAAUAAGCUGAUUGUCGUCACAUAGCCAGAAGGAAAGAGGAGUGAAGAACUCACCUGAGAUCUCCCGCGACGGAGUCUAAGAGACUCGGACUCACCUGAGAU